rnacentral:rRNA from 1 species
CCUACGGGGGGCAGCAGUGGGGAAUAUUGCACAAUGGGGGAAACCCUGAUGCAGCGACGCCGCGUGAGUGAAGAAGUAAUUCGUUAUGUAAAGCUCUAUCAGCAGGGAAGAAAAUGACGGUACCUGAGUAAGAAGCCCCGGCUAACUACGUGCCAGCAGCCGUGGUAAUACGUAGGGGGCAAGCGUUAUCCGGAUUUACUGGGCGUAAAGGGAGCGUAGGCGGCAGUGCAAGUCUGGAGUGAAUGGCGUGGGCUCAACCCCCGGACUGCUCUGGAAACUGUACGGCUGGAGUGCAGGAGAGGUAAGUGGAAUUCGUAGUGUAGCGGUGAAAUGCGUAGAUAUUAGGAGGAACACCAGUGGCGAAGGCGGCUUACGGGCCUGUAACUGACGUUGAGGCUCGAAAGCGUGGGGAGCAAACAGGAUUAGAUACCCUGGUAGUC